GAGGGUAUAGCUCAAGUGGUAGAGCACAUGUCUAGUAUGUAAGAGGUCCUGGGUUCAAUUCCCAGUACCUACC
rnacentral:tRNA from 1 species